CGUAACUAUAUUCAUAUGAGCAAAAUGUAACGGGCCAAGAGCCCAAUACACGACCAAGGUCGUCAUGCAGAUCUACACAUUCUUCAGCUGUACAUACAUAUCCGGAUAUUUGUGUGUUACACUUCAAUGUAUGUCGGCGUCGUACUAUGUAUGGGUUGGAAUGGGAGGUGAACUCGGGUAUGUUUUUUUGUUUAUGCUCCAUGUAGGGCGUGCGGUUUGGAGGCCCAAAUUCUACUUGUAUUGAGAUUUGCUGAUGAGUUGAAAGUGAACCAAGUGUUGGAUUUGAACGUGAAUAAGUUGGGGUUGGUUAUAUGAUUCGGAUGGUCGGUUUUGGGAUGGUGGAGGUGGAGCGCAGUGGCCGCUCUAGCAUACCGCCAGCGUCCCAGUUUCUGUGUAUUGGCAAUUGGAAAUUUGGAAUUGAAUUCGGGUGGUUGAUUGCCUGAAAUUUCAAAAGAGAAGAUUGAAAGUCGGUCUUUUGGUGGUCGAUCUACUACUAGUAGAUGUGGGUCCGUGGUCACCUUUUUUAGUGCAUGAUUAGGGAUGUGGUGGCUGCUGUUAUUUUGCAAGAAACAAUAAAGAAGAAGGAAGACAAAGAAAAGCUGAAAGAAAAUGGGGGGGUGGGGGUGGGGGAGGGAGAGAGACAGACGGAGACUGGACCAAAACGAAAAGGGAGAAGAGGAGGAAGAAGAAAAACAAUGUAUGCUGGGUUAUUACGGUGCAACACAGAAUCACGUUUAGCCACAAUAUCUCACAAGGGUCCAUGCGAAGGCAAGCAUAUUGAAAACUGCAGAGUUUGUGCAUCAUAUUUCAACUAAUGUUGGGACUUCUAGCAUUAUAAGGUAUUUGGAGCUUCUGUGUUGGGAUUCACAGUAUAAGGUAAUUGCAUGUCUGUAAUGAAAAUAAUGUUGAAUAAUGCAACUCUUAUUAAAUUAAGGAAGUUUCUAAAGUUCCAGGCUGUCCGUGAUGCGACGCACUGGACCAUAAACUUCAAAUGUACAAGUCUAUUCUCUGGCUUUGUUUGGUAAGGAGCCUAGCUCUCAACAAUAUCCAUAUGGUUAAGAUGUAGAGUGAAAUUUACGAAAUAGGAGAUUGCCAAAACUAUUAUCAAGCAUAUUAUCCAUAAUUAUGAGCCGCAUACACUGCAUACUUCAUUUAAAGUAUUCCUUUGUUAUCAGGUGUGCAUUUUGUUUCACAUAUUGUUAACAUAGUUUCUAUUUGUUGAUGAUGACUAAUGCUUACUGAAGGCCCCAGGUUGAGAAUAUAUUGAGAUAUUAUCAAUACAUUCUGUCAAGAUUGUGCUAUGCACCAGUUAAUAAACUUGCUGUAGGAAUAGAUUUACUGAUAAAUGAGAAAGAUCAGCCUGAAAUCAGUAAUGAGUUUAGGCAGAAAUAAUCUGAACCCUUCUGAUUUGACUUUGUUGACGGAAUAUGUGCAAUAAGAGAAUAUAUAUAUUCAUGUGUCCAUAUAUGAGUAUUUGAUAAAAUUGUGUGAAUUGACUAUUGAGUCAUAGCACAGCAGAACUAUAUGGAAAGUAGUGUAUGCUCAUUUUGCUAUUAGCUCUUUUUAAGUUAGUGCAUUGUUUCUGAAUUGACUAAGUACACGGAAACCCUUCUUUUACAAAUACUUUGUUAUUAACUGCACUGGCUUCCCCAUUAAUUAUUGUUGAGUUACCAGGAACAUUGGAUACAACCUGCAUUCUGAUAGCUGCUUUAUUUUGUUUGAUCUUUUCAUCCAAGGACGCACAUGAUCAAGUCUGUUGUUUAUAUAUAUGUCUUUAUCUGGUAAUGAGAUUGGUGGGGAUUUUGAUGAUUAUUCUCCCCGGUUAUCCUGUGAGACUGCAACACAGCCUUCCACUGUCAUUUUGUCAAGACUUGAUUCUUGAUACCCAGGUUGCUGGGCACCUUUUAGACAAUGUGACAAGUUCUCUGAUUCUUUUCCAAAUGACGUUGGAAGUUGACGUUUUUUUAUCACAUCUUUGAACGUUUCAUAAUUUGGUUUCUCUUUUUCCAAGGAUAUAAAAAACUUUUUGCCCUUUUUAUGAUUGUUACUUAGCUUUAUCAUGUCAUGAGAACCUGUUGAUUUUAUUUUUGCAACUUUUUUAUGUUACAUAUCUAUAUGAAUCUUUUGAGGUCGAAUCGAUUCUAUUCUGAUGCAAGCAAAUAAAUUGAACAAGCCCAGUUCUAAAUUUCAUUCCUAAUGCCGUGCCUGUGCAUUAGUGGGAAAUGCAUUCCCAGAACUCGAAGAUAGGAUUCUCGCUUCAUUUUAUUCAUAAAAUGUAUUUCAUAAGUGCUUUAUACUAACUUGCGUGUAUCAUAUAAUUUGGACGUUAAUUUUAUUAUUUUCUAUAAUAAUUGUUGCAAAAAAUAAUGAUGCUGAUUAUGAGGAACUUGAUAUAUUAAAUAGAUUUGUAGUUGAUGCGUGGAAAUUUUGACUUCCUCAGAGCAAUCAUUUGGCAUCAGAGUUAAUGAUUGGAGCUGUGGAGUUUGGUUAACCUGGCCGAACCGAAAUUUCAGAUUUCGGUUUUCGGUUUUAUAAAGAAAAAUCAGUUUGAAAUGGUCGUUAUUUUUUCGUAGUUCGAUUACCAAACCGAACUAUAUGUUUAAAUUAUGUAAUGUGAGAAAUGAGAAUUGAGUCCAUUGAGUCUGACUAUUGAAAUAAUUUUAGAGCUCUCUCACGCGGUAGUGAGAAAAAUUGCUGAACUCCAGAACUCCAUCUUCAAUCUUCACGUCCACGAAUCCAUCGGCACGCGGCACACCUUCGCUCCGACUCCACCAUUAACACUUGCAUGGUCGCAAUUGCUGCUUUGCAUUGUUCCUGGCCUGUACCUUUGAUUGUCGUUCAAAGUAUUUUCCCUGCAAUUGUGGAACAAAGUCAUUGUUCUUUCAGUAUUGCCGCUGGGGUAUUCUAGGAACUGGUUGCAGGACUGUGUCUCACCACUGGUCAAUGUUGAGUUAAUGCAACAACGGUAUAGGAUCGUUGCAAAUCAAAAUGCCAUGAUUGUCUAUGUCGGCGAUGAUUGCUCAACUACAGUCUAGAACCAAGCUGCUUUGAGGGGCCUGUGCAUUUUGAAAAGAUGAUUUCCUCUCUGUUUACAUGAAAAAAGUGUAAAGGGACAAGAUUAAUACAACAGGUCCACGUCACAAGCAGGGCCCUCAGGCUGCACGAUUUAUACCUCUGCGGUGUGUGAAUUCUUUCAAAUCCCUAGCCCUGAAAGUGCAGAGACUCUCCG